rnacentral:rRNA from 1 species
UAGGGAAUAUUAGUAAUGGGCGAAAGCCUGAACUAGCAACGCCGCGUGUGCGAAGAAGGCCUUCGGGUCGUAAAGCACUUUUUGAGAGGAUGAGGAAGGACGGUACUCUCAGAAUAAGCCUCGGCUAACUACGUGCCAGCAGCCGCGGUAACACGUAGGAGGCAAACGUUAUCCGGAUUUACUGGGCGUAAAGCGCGUGUAGGUGGUUUGGUAAGUAGGGCGUGAAAGCUCCUGGCUCAACUGGGAGAGGACGUUCUAAACUGCCAAGCUUGAGGAUGGUAGAGGGAGGUGGAAUUCCGGGUGUAGCGGUGGAAUGCGCAGAUAUCCGGAGGAACACCAGUGGCGAAGGCGGCCUCCUGGACCACUCCUGGCACUCAGACGCGAAGGCUAGGGUAGCAAACGG